AACGAACGCUGGCGGCAGGCCUAACACAUGCAAGUCGAGCGAGGACUUCGGUCCUAGCGGCGGACGGGUGAGUAACGCGUGGGAACGUGCCCUUUGCUUCGGAAUAGCCCUGGGAAACUGGGAGUAAUACCGGAUGAGCUCUUUCGGGGAAAGAUUUAUCGGCGAAGGAUCGGCCCGCGUUGUAUUAGGUAGUUGGUGGGGUAAUGGCCUACCAAGCCGACGAUCCAUAGCUGGUUUGAGAGGAUGAUCAGCCACACUGGGACUGAGACACGGCCCAGACUCCUACGGGAGGCAGCAGUGGGGAAUCUUAGAAAAUGGGGGAAACCCUGAUCUAGCCAUGCCGCGUGAGCGAUGAAGGCCUUAGGGUUGUAAAGCUCGUUCAGCUGGGAAGAUAAUGACGGUACCAGCAGAAGAAGCCCCGGCUAACUCCGUG
rnacentral:rRNA from 1 species